ensembl:lncRNA
CUCAAGCGUUAGGCAAAGAUGAAAGCUUCAGGAUGUGCAGGUCAAAGGGCAACUUUCAGGAGUCUAUUUUCAACCUGCCAGUGGCCACAGCCUUAAAGGAAACUGACCCUUCUUCCCUCCAAGCAGCAAUCACUUGCCAAGAGCUCCUAAGCAAGGGAUGAGAAUUCAACACCACCUCUCCACACCAUGCUGAGAUUUUGUCUGGCUUCACCUCUCACAGGACUUGUGCAUGCUGUCACAAUCGCUGUUUGUGGCUCUGAUAAUGGUUCCAGGCGCCGGUUCUGUCUUGUGAGGCAGACCUUAAAUCCAAUUAAAUAGUGGUUGGUUACUGCCAUAACAUUAGUAACACCAUUUCACCAGUGGGUGUAUUUUGCAAGCUAAUCAUCAUUAUGCAGUGCAAGUUUCACAGCUGGUGUCAUUGGUGACACCUUUUCUUUUCUGGUGUCAUGCACUAUAAAAACUAGUCACUUAAGAAGUCAUUGUUCUCUGCGGUAUAUUUUUAAAAUUGAUAUUAAAAGUUUGCCACAAUUUCAUGAUGCUUCUCCAAACAAUUUAUGCUUUUACUUAUAAAAAUGCCCACACUGAUACACUAGUAAAACUGGGCAGCUGAACUUUGUAGGGCUUUGAAAAUCUUAUUGAUCUUUAGAAAAGUUUGUGUUGUUAUGUAAGUUAUCACUCCGGAAAAAAAAAAAUCCCUAGCAAAGAAUUUCUGCUAACCUCAUACCUCUUGUUGGAAGUAACGGAUAGAACACUUUUCAGAGUGUUUGCUGGAGCAAGUGAUUGGCAUUGGGAAGGUAGAAAUUUUCUAGAUGAAUUCAACAAUGUUUGCAUAACUGAUGGCUGGGAAUGAAAAAUGAGCAUCAUUAUUUGGUGAUGAGAAUAAAUGACCCCUGCCCUCCAGCUGGACCUUUGUACCUGAUGAAGUAUUUUAUACAGCUGUGACAUCAAAUCAAGUGCCAAACGAGCUGGAUGGAGCCUACCUUCUCGUUGCUACAAUGAGAACUGUUAAGUUGAUAUUUGAAUUAAAUAAAACUAUUUUAAAGGUUUUUAUUUUAAUCUCUUGCUUUCAAAAGAUCCAUUUUUGC